GCAAAACUCCUCUCCAGCAGUUUAAAUAUAACUCUCUUCUGGGAGAAACUGAGAGCAAGGUGUGGUGGGGAUGGCACGACCACCUGGCGCCAUACCACCUCCUCACCCCGCCAGCGGUGUUGCCUCUGGGGUGGGCCCCAACCAGGGAUCAGGUCCGCCUCCGGUCUACCGGCAGGACGUGAUGAAGCAGAUGAUGGUGAUGGAGCAGGAGAAGAGGGCGCAGUUGCACAUGAUGGAGCAGCAGAAGCAGCAGCUCUUCAGAGAGCAGAGACAACAGCAGCAGCAGCAGCAACUCUUGGCUGAACAGCUCCAGCAGCAGCAACAUCUCCCCAGACAAAUCGGCCAGGGCCAGAGGAAUCCAUAUCCCCAAGUCAAUCAGUACCAAGGUACCCCUCAGGCUCUCCAGAACAUUCGGGCUACCCGCCUCCUGCAGCAGCCGCAAACUCAGCAGCAGAUGGUCCAGAUGAGUUCUGUUCAGGCCCAGGGUGGUUCUGUGGGACCCCAAACUGACAUGGGAAUACCCUACAGUAACCAGGGAUCCAACCAGGGUUCCCUGUAUGGGCUCAACCCCUCCAUGAGCCAAAUGAUCCACCAGCAGCAGCACCAGAGCCAAAGCGUCCAAGCCCCCAUGGGUCUUCCUCCACAGCACAACCCCACCGGGGGGCCACCCCGGCAGGCAGGUGCGGGUCCUGGAGUCGGAGGUAUGCCGGGAGGACCCGGAGGUGGUGGAGCUGGAGGUUAUGGAGGGCAAGGGAUGCUAAUGAACUCCAUGCCCCAACAACCUCUUAAAGGACCUCCUAAUGCCAAAGCUCAAACACAGAGACUGCAGAGCAUGCUGGGAGGAGGCGGUGGGGGAAUGGCAGCGGGCGGCUGGCCGCAGCAGCAAGGACAGAGUCUGCAGGCCAUGGG
rnacentral:lncRNA from 1 species